rnacentral:rRNA from 1 species
GACGAACGCUGGCGGCGUGCCUAAUACAUGCAAGUAGAACGCUGAAGCUUGGUGCUUGCACCGAGCGGAUGAGUUGCGAACGGGUGAGUAACGCGUAGGUAACCUGCCUGGUAGCGGGGGAUAACUAUUGGAAACGAUAGCUAAUACCGCAUAAGAGUAGAUGUUGCAUGACAUUUGCUUAAAAGGUGCAAUUGCAUCACUACCAGAUGGACCUGCGUUGUAUUAGCUAGUUGGUGAGGUAACGGCUCACCAAGGCAAAGAUACAUAGCCGACCUGAGAGGGUGGUCGGCCACACUGGGGAGGAGACACGGCCCAGACGCCUACGGGAGGCAGCAGUAGGGAAUCUUCGGGAAUGGACGGAAGACUGACCGAGCAACGCCGCGUGAGUGAAGAAGGAUUUCGGAUCGUAAAGCUCUGUUGUAAGAGAAGAACGAGGGUGAGAGUGGAAAGUUCACACUGUGACGGUAUCUGACCAGAGAGGGACGGCUAACUACGUG